rnacentral:rRNA from 1 species
GAUGAACGCUGGCGGCGUGCCUAAUACAUGCAAGUCGAGCGAACAGACGAGGAGCUUGCUCCUCUGACGUUAGCGGCGGACGGGUGAGUAACACGUGGAUAACCUACCUAUAAGACUGGGAUAACUUCGGGAAACCGGAGCUAAUACCGGAUAAUAUAUUGAACCGCAUGGUUCAAUAGUGAAAGACGGUUUUGCUGUCACUUAUAGAUGGAUCCGCGCCGCAUUAGCUAGUUGGUAAGGUAACGGCUUACCAAGGCGACGAUGCGUAGCCGACCUGAGAGGGUGAUCGGCCACACUGGAACUGAGACACGGUCCAGACUCCUACGGGAGGCAGCAGUAGGGAAUCUUCCGCAAUGGGCGAAAGCCUGACGGAGCAACGCCGCGUGAGUGAUGAAGGUCUUCGGAUCGUAAAACUCUGUUAUUAGGGAAGAACAAAUGUGUAAGUACCUAUGCACGUCUUGACGGUACCUGAUCAGAAAGCCACGGCUAACUACGUG